UAUCUCGUAGAGUAAUGGGUAACUCAUAAAUUUUUGGUAUUUAACAUUAGGUGUUCGAAUCGCCUCGAGAUAA
rnacentral:tRNA from 2 species